CCCUUAGAUGUUCUGGGCCGCACGCGCGCUACACUGACGAUGGCAACGAGUUUUUCCUUCGCCGAAAGGUGUGGGUAAUCUUUUGAAACAUCGUCGUGCUGGGGAUAGAUCAUUGCAAUUUUUGAUCUUGAACGAGGAAUUCCUAGUAAGCGCGAGUCAUCAGCUCGCGUUGAUUACGUCCCUGCCCUUUGUACACACCGCCCGUCGCUACUACCGAUUGAAUGGUUUAAUGAGGACUCCUGAUUGGCGCCGCCGCCCCGGCAACGGAGCAGCGGACUGCCGAAAAGUUGUUCAAACUUGAUCAUUUAGAGGAAGUAAAAGUCGUAACA
rnacentral:rRNA from 1 species